GAAUGCUGACAUAAGUAACGAUAAAGCGGGUGAAAAGCCCGCUCGCCGGAAGACCAAGGGUUCCUGUCCAACGUUAAUCGGGGCAGGGUGAGUCGACCCCUAAGGCGAGGCCGAAAGGCGUAGUCGAUGGGAAACGGGUUAAUAUUCCCGUACUUGGUGUUACUGCGAAGGGGGGACGGAGAAGGCUAUGUUGGCCGGGCGACGGUUGUCCCGGUUUAAGCGUGUAGGUGUGUGUUCCAGGUAAAUCCGGUUCACUUUAACACUGAGGCGUGACGACGAGGCACUACGGUGCUGAAGCAACAAAUGCCCUGCUUCCAGGAAAAGCCUCUAAGCAUCAGGUAACAUCAAAUCGUACCCCAAACCGACACAGGUGGUCAGGUAGAGAAUACCAAGGCGCUUGAGAGAACUCGGGUGAAGGAACUAGGCAAAAUGGUGCCGUAACUUCGGGAGAAGGCACGCUGACACGUAGGUGAAGUGAUUUACUCAUGGAGCUGAAGUCAGUCGAAGAUACCAGCUGGCUGCAACUGUUUAUUAAAAACACAGCACUGUGCAAACACGAAAGUGGACGUAUACGGUGUGACGCCUGCCCGGUGCCGGAAGGUUAAUUGAUGGGGUCAGCGCAAGCGAAGCUCCUGAUCGAAGCCCCGGUAAACGGCGGCCGUAACUAUAACGGUCCUAAGGUAGCGAAAUUCCUUGUCGGGUAAGUUCCGACCUGCACGAAUGGCGUAAUGAUGGCCAGGCUGUCUCCACCCGAGACUCAGUGAAAUUGAACUCGCUGUGAAGAUGCAGUGUACCCGCGGCAAGACGGAAAGACCCCGUGAACCUUUACUAUAGCUUGACACUGAACAUUGAGCCUUGAUGUGUAGGAUAGGUGGGAGGCUUUGAAGUGUGGACGCCAGUCUGCAUGGAGCCGACCUUGAAAUACCACCCUUUAAUGUUUGAUGUUCUAACGUGGACCCGUUACCCGGGUUGCGGACAGUGUCUGGUGGGUAGUUUGACUGGGGCGGUCUCCUCCUAAAGAGUAACGGAGGAGCACGAAGGUUGGCUAAUCCUGGUCGGACAUCAGGAGGUUAGUGCAAUGGCAUAAGCCAGCUUGACUGCGAGCGUGACGGCGCGAGCAGGUGCGAAAGCAGGUCAUAGUGAUCCGGUGGUUCUGAAUGGAAGGGCCAUCGCUCAACGGAUAAAAGGUACUCCGGGGAUAACAGGCUGAUACCGCCCAAGAGUUCAUAUCGACGGCGGUGUUUGGCACCUCGAUGUCGGCUCAUCACAUCCUGGGGCUGAAGUAGGUCCCAAGGGUAUGGCUGUUCGCCAUUUAAAGUGGUACGCGAGCUGGGUUUAGAACGUCGUGAGACA
rnacentral:rRNA from 1 species